rnacentral:rRNA from 1 species
UGGGGAAUAUUGCGCAAUGGGGAGAACCCUGACGCAGCCAUGCCGCGUGAAUGAAGAAGGCCUUAGGGUUGUAAAGUUCUUUCGGUAUUGAGGAAGGUUGAUGUGUUAAUAGCACAUCAAAUUGACGUUAAAUACAGAAGAAGCACCGGCUAACUCCGUGCCAGCAGCCGCGGUAAUACGGAGGGUGCGAGCGUUAAUCGGAAUAACUGGGCGUAAAGGGCACGCAGGCGGUUAUUUAAGUGAGGUGUGAAAGCCCUGGGCUUAACCUAGGAAUUGCAUUUCAGACUGGGUAACUAGAGUACUUUAGGGAGGGGUAGAAUUCCACGUGUAGCGGUGAAAUGCGUAGAGAUGUGGAGGAAUACCGAAGGCGAAGGCAGCCCCUUGGGAAUGUACUGACGCUCAUGUGCGAAAGCGUGGGGAGCAAACAGGAUUAGAUACCCUGGUAGUCCACGCUGUAAACGCUGUCGAUUUGGGGGUUGGGGUUUAACUCUGGCGCCCGUAGCUAACGUGAUAAAUCGACCGCCUGGGGAGUACGGCCGCAAGGUUA